rnacentral:rRNA from 1 species
GACGAACGCUGGCGGCGUGCUUAACACAUGCGAGUCGAACGGAAAGGCCCUGCUUUUGUGGGGUGCUCGAGUGGCGAACGGGUGAGUAACACGUGAGUAACCUGCCCUUGACUUUGGGAUAACUUCAGGAAACUGGGGCUAAUACCGGAUAGGAGCUCCUGCUGCAUGGUGGGGGUUGGAAAGUUUCGGCGGUUGGGGAUGGACUCGCGGCUUAUCAGCUUGUUGGUGGGGUAGUGGCUUACCAAGGCUUUGACGGGUAGCCGGCCUGAGAGGGUGACCGGCCACAUUGGGACUGCGGUACGGCCCAGACUCCUACGGGAGGCAGCAGUGGGGAAUAUUGCCCAAUGGGCGGAAGCCUGAUGCAGCAACGCCGCGUGCGGGAUGCCGGCCUUCGGGUUGUAAACCGCUUUCGCCUGUGACGAAGCGUGAGUGACGGUAAUGGGUAAAGAAGCACCGGCUAACUACGUG